rnacentral:lncRNA from 1 species
UAAUGAAGUAACUGUAGAAUAAUAAAGUGGCUCUGCUUAUUGGAAACAGAAAGCUCUCAGCUUUCGGAAGAAAAGAUCCUCUCGGUGAAGCUCGUGCUGUAUUAAUCCAAAAAUACAAAUAAGUGGAGGUGAUCUGGAAAGCCCGUGUUACGAACAUCAGCCCAGCAUUUCUGCCACUGAAGAUCCUCUUCUCCGGCCUCAACUCAAAAAAUCUUUGUGGCAGAUUUGGCAUUGCCUGUAAUAAUUUAUGAACGUGAUGUGUUGACAUGUUUACUGUGUGCAUACAUUGAGCUACUUCAAUCGCUGCCUUGUCAGGAAGUGUACCCAGGAGAGAACAGAUGAAUCCAGGCACGCGGUUUGGAGGAAACACUGGGGAGCUGAAGCAAGCGCCCUUUGCUGUGACAUUUUGGCUGGGCCCCUGCUGGGCUCACAGGAGAGAUUUCCCUGGGAGAACAUGGGUGCCUGUGAAGGAAGGCACAGAAGGCCCUGGGGGAUUCACAGUGAACCAUUUAAAUGGAGGCUUUGGAGAGUGAGAACCCGAAAGGGGCUGAAAGCGCUCAGAUCUGCAGGUACCUAAUUCAGUACAUGUUGGCGAUAAAGGGGAUGUGGAACAUUUGUUUAACCGCCGUGCCUUAUUUCAGUGGUGAAAUGGCUCUUCUGUUUUAUAAACAUGGUUUAGGUUGCACAAGAGAGCUGGAUGCCUCUGUUCCCAGGUCCAUUUGGGAAUCAUGGUGAUUGUGCUGGGUAGGCUGGCUGGAGUUUGGCAAAGCUACCUCAGCCUGCCUGCAGGAAGGUGAGAGCUUGAGGCCUGGCGGCCUUCCCCAGACGGGAAGGCAGAAAGGCCACUGAUAGCUGAGAUCCAGCAGUAACCAUAACAAUACCAUCAUCUUUCUUAAAAGUCCCAGCACGUAAUUCUACUAAUGACUUUUAUUAAACAUUUAAGCCUUAGCCUUCAAGUGAUUCAUAUUUGUUACAAAACACCAUCCCAUUAACACAAAGUACAAGCCGAAACAAAGUUAAUGAGCCCUAAUGCUUGCC